AACCUCCUGGCUCCAGCUGUGGUAUGGACUUUCAAAUCAAAGCAGCUCCCUGUCCUUUAUCCCAGGCACUAAAGAAAAACCAAUAAUUCCAAGGACUCGGGAACUCACGGCAGGAAUCUCGCUGCAAAACCAACAGAAGCAGUGAGGAAAUUGCUCAGCACUGGCAACUGCAUCAGGCUCCCUUCAGCUGCUGGAGGCCCUGAUUUCAUCACCCUGAGCUGCACACCAGGAAAGAGGAAGUUUGACAGUGCACCACCACAACAAGCUCUCAGAAAGGAUCUGAUGCCAGCCUACAUUGCUAGCAGUGCAGCAGAACUCCUUGCUGUGAUGGAGAGAGGGGAUGUCAGGACUGUUAUUGACUUUCUGACUGCUUUUUGAGCCAUUUUCCAACCUCUUGCACAUUUUCUGUGCUUUAAUGAACAGAAGAUGCAGUCAGUGUCUUGGCAGCAGGCUUGGAGAGCCAGGAGCAGAGGGAGGCACUCACCUUCCUGGCCUGCUUUUCCCUACCACCAAGCAAUAAAGCACUCUUUAUUCCAUGAUGAUGUAAAUGUGCAAGCCUGUUGAUGUUGC
rnacentral:lncRNA from 12 species